rnacentral:rRNA from 1 species
GAUGAACGCUGGCGGCGUGCCUAAUACAUGCAAGUCGAGCGAACGGACGAGAAGCUUGCUUCUCUGAUGUUAGCGGCGGACGGGUGAGUAACACGUGGAUAACCUACCUAUAAGACUGGGAUAACUUCGGGAAACCGGAGCUAAUACCGGAUAAUAUUUUGAACCGCAUGGUUCAAAAGUGAAAGACGGUCUUGCUGUCACUUAUAGAUGGAUCCGCGCUGCAUUAGCUAGUUGGUAAGGUAACGGCUUACCAAGGCAACGAUGCAUAGCCGACCUGAGAGGGUGAACGGCCACACUGGCACUGAGACACGGUCCACACUCCUACAGGAGGCAGCAGUAGGGAAUCUUCCGCAAUGGGCGAAAGCCUGACGGAGCAACGCCGCGUGAGUGAUGAAGGUCUUCGGAUCGUAAAACUCUGUUAUUAGGGAAGAACAUAUGUGUAAGUAACUGUGCACAUCUUGACGGUACCUAAUCAGAAAGCCACGGCUAACUACGUG